GAUGAACGCUAGCGGAAGGCAUAAUACAUGCAAGUCGAACGGAUGUAGCAAUACAUUAGUGGCGCACGGGUGCGUAACGCGUAUGCAACCUACCUUCAUCAGGGGGAUAACUACCCGAAAGGGUGGCUAACACCGCAUAAUACUAUUGAGUGGCAUCACUUGGUAUUUAAAUCUGAGGAGGAUGAAGAUGGGCAUGCGUCUGAUUAGCUAGUUGGUGUGGUAACGGCGCACCAAGGCGACGAUCAGUAGGGGAACUGAGAGGUUGGUCCCCCACACUGGCACUGAGAUACGGGCCAGACUCCUACGGGAGGCAGCAGUAGGGAAUAUUGGUCAAUGGUGGGAACACUGAACCAGCCAUUCCGCGUGCAGGAAGAAGGGUCUCUGACUUGUAAACUGCUUUAGCAAGGGAAGAAAAAGCUCAUGCGUGAGAAAUUGACGGUACCUUGAGAAUAAGCACCGGCUAACUACGUGCCAGCAGCCGCCGUAAAAC
rnacentral:rRNA from 1 species